UACGUAGGGGGCGAGCGUUGUCCGGAGUUACUGGGCGUAAAGGGCGCGCAGGCGGUCUGGCAAGUUUGGAGUGACAGUGCUCGGCUUAACUGAGCAAGGCCUUCGAAAACUGCUAGACUUGAGCACUCAAGAGGGACAUAGAAUUCCGGGUGGAGUGGUGAAAUGCGUAGAUAUCCGGGGGAAUACCAAGGGCGAAGGCAGUGUCCUGGGGAGUGUCUGACGCUCAGGCGCGAAAGCUAGGGGAGCGAACAGG
rnacentral:rRNA from 1 species